CCUACGGGUGGCAGCAGUGAGGAAUAUUGGUCAAUGGACGAGAGUCUGAACCAGCCAAGUAGCGUGAAGGAUGACUGCCCUAUGGGUUGUAAACUUCUUUUAUAAAGGAAUAAAACGAGGCACGUGUGCCUUUUUGCAUGUACUUUAUGAAUAAGGAUCGGCUAACUCCGUGCCAGCAGCCGCGGUAAUACGUAGGGGGCAAGCGUUGUUCGGAAUGACUGGGCGUAAAGGGUGUGUAGGUGGUUUGAUAAGUUAGAUGUGUAAUACCCAGGGCUUAACUCGGGUGCUGCAUCUAAAACUGUUAGACUUGAGUACUGGAGAGGAUAGUGGAAUUCCUAGUGUAGCGGUGGAAUGCGUAGAUAUUAGGAGGAACAUCAGUGGCGAAGGCGACUAUCUGGACAGCAACUGACACUGAGGCACGAAAGCGUGGGGAGCAAACAGGAUUAGAUACCCCUGUAGUC
rnacentral:rRNA from 1 species